CUGCUCAUAAGCCAGUUGAAUUUUCAGUCGCUACAGUUCGGCCUUCUCCUGCCCAAGGGCCAUGAACAGUUCUUCCAUGGUCCCCCUCAAAGAGCGGAGCUCGUCGGAGCCUUGAACCGAAAUGGCUUGGGCUCUCUCGGACAACUGCUUCUGAAGGUGGGCGACCUCAUCGGUCGCGGUCUUUAGCCUCCUUCGGUAGUCAUCUACUUGUCCGCACCAGCUGACUCGAUAAGCAUUGUAGUUUGCCUCGACAUCCUGUAGCUGCUUCUGGAGGUCAGAGAAUUUCUUCGACUAGUCCCGGUCG
rnacentral:lncRNA from 1 species